rnacentral:rRNA from 1 species
UACAGAGGUCUCAAGCGUUGUUCGGAUUCAUUGGGCGUAAAGGGUGCGUAGGUGGCGCCGUAAGUCGGGUGUGAAAUUUCGGAGCUUAACUCCGAAACUGCAUUCGAUACUGCGGUGCUUGAGGACUGGAGAGGAGACUGGAAUUCAUGGUGUAGCAGUGAAAUGCGUAGAGAUCAUGAGGAAGACCAGUGGCGAAGGCGGGUCUCUGGACAGUUCCUGACACUGAGGCACGAAGGCUAGGGGAGCAAACGGG